rnacentral:rRNA from 1 species
CUACGUGCCAGCAGCCGCGGUAAUACGGAGGAUGCGAGCGUUAUCCGGAUUUAUUGGGUUUAAAGGGUGCGUAGGCGGCCUGUUAAGUCAGCGGUGAAAUCUAGGAGCUUAACUCCUAAAUUGCCAUUGAUACUGGCGGGCUUGAGUGUAGAUGAGGUAGGCGGAAUGCGUGGUGUAGCGGUGGAAUGCAUAGAUAUCACGCAGAACUCCGAUUGCGAAGGCAGCUUACCGUAACGUUACUGACGCUUAAGCACGAAGGUGCGGGUAUCGAACAGGAUUAGAUACCCUGGUAGUCCGCACAGUAAACGAUGGAUGCUCGCUGUUGGCCUAUUGUGGUCAGUGGCUUAGCGAAAGCGUUAAGCACCCCACCUGAGGAGUACGCCGGCAACGGUGAAACUCAAAGGAAUUGACGGGGGCCCGCACAAGCGGUGGAGCAUGUGGUUUAAUUCGAAGCAACGCGAAGAACCUUACCAGGUCUUGACAUCCCUCUGACCACUCUAGAGAUAGAGUUUUC